AGGAAGGGGCGGAGGAGGGGGCGCAGACAGGUGGGCUGGCCCCGGCCUCGUUCGGAGAAAGCCAAGGGAAAGGAAGAUGAGGGGGGGAGGGGGGGUGUGGAGAGGCGAGAGAGGAGCAGCCUGUCAGGUGACUGGCUGUGUGUGGGGACCGGGGGCGAGUAUUUGUGUCUCCUCAGUCAGGUUCCGCGAGGCGAGGGAGACUCACUCGGGCAUGUGAUAAAAAGGAAGAAGAGAAGGGAGGCAGGAAGGAAGGAAGGAAGGAAGGAAGGAAGGAAGGAAGGAAGGAAGGAAGGAAGGAAGGAAGGAAGGAAGGAAGGAAGGAAGGGCACCCGGAGAGGCAGGACUUUGUGUGUGAAGCCAGAGGAGAGGGGAAGCGUGGCGGAUUGUGGAAGGACCCCUUUUCCUCCCUUGCUUCCUUCCCUCCCUGCCUCCCUCCCUCCCUCCUUUGGAAUCCCAAGCGGCGAAGGAGCGGCACCAGCCGCAGUGCGAGGCUCUUUGGAGGGGAGGCGAGGGAAGCAAAGAAGGAAGGAAGGAAGGAAGGAAGCCCACCGAGCUGCAAAGACGAGCCGCCGCCGCCGCCGUUUCAUCCUGCGGCACCGACACAUACACACACAGACUGAGGAAGCAGCAGCGGCGGCGGGAGGGCGCGGAGGAGCCCAUGUGCGCAGAUGGCAGUAUGGAAACCAAAUACAUACACUGGCAGAAGUUAUUUUUGCUCUGUAUGAGAAAAUGAAGAGAGUGCACAUGACUAGGCUUGGGAACUUGAGAAACCACAGGGAUAAUACUUUACUCUGGAAGACGGCUAUGAUGGGGAAAACCCUUUCAUCUGACAAAAGCGUUUUGCCAUACAACUAAUCAAAGGAUUUUCUUUAGUUAAAGGAAGUUGUAAAACUGAUCACCGGGAAGUAUGAGUUACUUGGAAUGGGUUGCAUUUGACAUAACAGGGAAGAGUCUCUUGAUCCAGAAAAUGUAGCUGCUCCUCAGUCGCUCAGUAGUCA